CUGCACCAUCGACCGACCAUGAUCUUCUGUGAAAGGUUUGAGUAAGAGCAUGCCUGUUGGGACCCGAAAGAUGGUGAACUAUGCCUGAGCAGGGCGAAGCCAGAGGAAACUCUGGUGGAGGCUCGUAGAUGUGCUGACGUGCAAAUCGCUUUUCGGACUUGGGUAUAGGGGCGAAAGACUACUAGUAGCUGGUUCCCUCCGAAGUUUCCCCCAGGAUAGCUGGAGCUUGUGCAGUUUUAUCGGGUAAAGCGAAUGAUUAGAGGUACCGGGGAUGAAACAUCCUCGACCUAUUCUCAAACUUUAAAUAGGUAAGACGUACAGUGAGUGUACUUAAUUGAACCGUGGCAGUCAAUGAGAGCUCCAAGUGGGCCAUU
rnacentral:rRNA from 1 species